rnacentral:rRNA from 1 species
GAGGAAAAGAAACUAACAAGGAUUCCCCUAGUAACUGCGAGUGAAGCGGGAAAAGCUCAAAUUUAAAAUCUGGCGGUCCUUUGGCCGUCCGAGUUGUAAUUUAGAGAAGCGUCUUCCGCGCCGGACCGUGCACAAGUCUCCUGGAAUGGAGCGUCAUAGAGGGUGAGAAUCCCGUCUUUGGCACGGAUGCCUGGUGCUUCUGUGAUGCGCUCUCGAAGAGUCGAGUUGUUUGGGAAUGCAGCUCAAAAUGGGUGGUGAACUCCAUCUAAAGCUAAAUAUUGGCGAGAGACCGAUAGCGAACAAGUACCGUGAGGGAAAGAUGAAAAGCACUUUGGAAAGAGAGUGAAACAGUACGUGAAAUUGUUGAAAGGGAAACGCUUGAAGUCAGUCGCGUCGACCGAGACUCAGCCUUGCCUCGGCUUGGUGUACUUCUCGGCCCGACGGGUCAGCAUCGAUUUCGCCCCUCGGAUAAUGGCAAGGGAAAGGUGGCACCUUUACGGGUGUGUUAUAGUCUCCUGUCGCAUGCGAGGGGUGGGAUUGAGGAACUCAGCACGCACCUCGGUGUCGGGGCUUCGGCCCACGUAACGUGCUUAGGAUGCUGGCGUAAUGGCUUUAAACGACCCGUCUG